rnacentral:rRNA from 1 species
GACGAACGCUGGCGGCGUGCCUAAUACAUGCAAGUUGAGCGCUGAAGGUUGGUACUUGUACCAACUGGAUGAGCAGCGAACGGGUGAGUAACGCGUGGGGAAUCUGCCUUUGAGCGGGGGACAACAUUUGGAAACGAAUGCUAAUACCGCAUAAAAACUUUAAACACAAGUUUUAAGUUUGAAAGAUGCAAUUGCAUCACUCAAAGAUGAUCCCGCGUUGUAUUAGCUAGUUGGUGAGGUAAAGGCUCACCAAGGCGAUGAUACAUAGCCGACCUGAGAGGGUGAUCGGCCACAUUGGGACUGAGACACGGCCCAAACUCCUACGGGAGGCGGCAGUAGGGAAUCUUCGGCAAUGGACGAAAGUCCGACCGAGCAACGCCGCGUGAGUGAAGAAGGUUUUCGGAUCGUAAAACUCUGUUGGUAGAGAAGAACGUUGGUGAGAGUGGAAAGCUCAUCAAGUGACGGUAACUACCCAGAAAGGGACGGCUAACUACGUG